GAGGACGAGGAGGACGACGAGGAGGAGGAGGAGGACACCAUAUGAUUUCAUUCAAAUGAGUUUCAUUAGGUUUUGAUCUCCAUGGCAACAGUUUGCUUAACAUAGCUCGUCUGCCUCUGGGCGACGGAAACAGUUGGAGUCAUCGUUCUGCCCGGUCACCAUCCACAGUGUCCACUGAGUUCACCUCACCACACUGACAGGAGGACAGAGACACAGAUCAACACGUCCUGCAGACAUCAUUACAAUCAGCCUUGGACACACAGAGCGAAGGACUGCCGUCAGAGCAGUUUGGAAAUGUAACCGCGGACAACAGACGGGCGGCCAGAUGAUUGAAUGGACGGGGGACAGUUGGACAGAACGGGAAAACCAUCAGAACGAGCCGGUCGUCAGGUCGAAGUCCUCCAUCAGCUGAGUGAAGUCAGUUUUCUUGUGUUCAUCCAUCAGCACGUUACUGCAGCCGUCAGCCGUGUGGACGAGGAGAAGCCCAUAACUUUUUGGACAUCUGGCAUUCGGACCUAAUUACAGGAACGAUCGUGAUAAUCGGUCAGACUGUAACCACGCAGUCAUCACGCUGAUCCUGGAGGUGGAUGGAUCUGACAUCUGGACACAGCUGCAGGAACAGAUGAUGCUGAUUGGCUCCUGUGCAGGUCAGAGACGAGGUGCGGAGGAGGUGAGCCGACAGGAACCUCCACUAAUGAGGACGUGAUUAAAUGAAUAAUGACGUGAGCGGUGAUGACGGAGCACAGGGACACGAGCUCACAUCCAGAGAGCUGAAUGACUUUCAGGAGGCCGUCAACAGGAAGUGGAAACGAGGCUGCGCUCCUCUCUGCGGAGAGCGAGACCCAAAAAACAAAGACCCUCUGGAUUUAAUCUUCGGAAGCCAAACCAGAGGUUAAAGGAAGGAUAUCCACAUUUCAUUCAGCUGGAUUUGAUGUGGACGGCUCUCCUCUCUCAGGAUGAAGACGUGACGAGAAGGAACUCAUAUUUACGAUGAUCUGAGCAUUGUGAGUCACCAGAAGGUUCUGGGAGCGAUCCAGGACCGGACCGUGGAGGCUGUAACAAUGAGUGUGUCUGACUGAAAGAUGACAGAACCACAGAGGUCCGAUUCUGCACACAGCAGCAUCACUGAAGGCGGCCGGAUCCAGAGCAGUCGACGGCGUGGUGGUCUGACUGAGUAGAAGUACAAAGAGGAGAGCUGUCAGUCAGACGGAGGAGACGUCUCGUCACGUCCAGCGAUUAACAAAAGCAGCUGACAGCUACAUCUGACGUGUGCCGGCAGGUUUACAGGUGCAGUAACGAGCGCUCAGGUGUCAACACCAGCAGUCAUCACCUGCCUCACCUCACUGUCUGCGUUGAUGAGGAGCUCAGCAGAGGAGAGGACACGACCACGGCAUGACAAAUUACACCGAGACCAGUAAAAGAACCGUUAGCGUCACAGCUAAUCAAUGCUACAGGAUCUAAUGAUUCAGCCCACAGGCCUGUUUAAUACACGCCACCCUAACAAUGACAUCAUCGCCUGCUGUCGGCCCAGCAGACCACAGAGCAGAUUCUUGAGCUCAAACACACUGUAAAUGUAUUAAAUCAUUACAACAUGCA